GACGAACGCUGGCGGCGUGCUUAACACAUGCAAGUCGAACGGGGUCCAUCCCUUCGGGGAGAAGACCUAGUGGCGAACGGGUGAGUAACACGUGAGGAACCUGUCCCAAAGUUCGGGAUAAGCCAGGGAAACUUGGUCUAAUACCGGAUGCCCUCAUCGAGUCUAAUGUCUCGAUGAGGAAAGUUUUUCGCUUUGGGAGGGCCUCGCGGCCUAUCAGCUUGUUGGUGAGGUAACGGCUCACCAAGGCGUCGACGGGUAGCUGGUCUGAGAGGAUGAUCAGCCACACUGGGACUGAGACACGGCCCAGACUCCUACGGGAGGCAGCAGUGGGGAAUCUUGCGCAAUGGGCGAAAGCCUGACGCAGCAACGCCGCGUGAGGGAUGAAGGCUCUCGGGUUGUAAACCUCUUUCAGUAGGAACGAAAUUGACGGUACCUACAGAAGAAGCUCCGGCCAACUACGUGCCAGCCGCCGCAGUAAUAC
rnacentral:rRNA from 1 species